rnacentral:lncRNA from 1 species
CAUCGCCUGGCAAUAAUUCUGCUGCAGCCUCACUCAGUAACGCUCCGUCAACAUGGGGUUGCCGUGACGUGACGAGGGUGUCUAGGCAGAUCACAAAAGCCUCCAACCGUCUUUAAGGAGCAGUGGACAGCUAAUGGUUAUCAGAGGGUGGCAGUUUCUUCAGUGGUGUUCACUGGAAGUGGGAAGCAAGCACACUCUGAGUCCGGUCAUGUGACCAGUGAUUUAUCCAAUCAGACCCGUCAAGCAAAGCCAUGACUCAAGUCAGUGAGACUCAGAUGGAUGUCCUGGGAAGAAAAACAGAAAUUCCAAGAGCUUCGGGAACCCCAGGGGACUGGUUCAAGGAGCUUCCUGGAUCCUGAAGUUAUUAAUACCA